rnacentral:sRNA from 2 species
CCGUCAAGAGAUGACCAAGCGUUAUCACAAAAACUCCUCUUGGUCGGUCGCGUAUUCUAUGCUCUUUUUCUCUGGUCCAUGAAACUUUGCUUGCUACGAUUCUAUAAGCGACUGGAAACUGGAUCCAACAAAGUCCAUUACUCUCUCCAGUUCCUGCGGGCUUUCAUUGUGUCAACUUUCUUUGCUACCCUGGUAGCGACAUUG